rnacentral:lncRNA from 1 species
CGGCCGGCCACCUCACAUCAACCUGUGAGGCAGGGAGUGGUUAUUCCUAUUUCUCAGCAGGGAAACUGAGGCUCAGAGAGUUGAAGGAACUUGCCCAGGGCACUCAUUUGAUGAGUGCAGAAGGCAGGUUUUGAACCUGAAUCUGUCUGAGCCCAAACCUGAGGCUUUUCCCACCUUCCCACAUGGCUUUUUGAAGGCAAAGGAGAAAUGGAAGGGUGUUCCAGGACGAAGGGCCUAGAGCAGCAAAGGCCCAGCGACAGGAACCUUGGCUGUGUGCGGGGAGCCCUGGAGCAGAGUGGAGAAUGGAUCCCAGGGGCUGCUGCAAGGGUUCAGGCGGGAGCUAGCAGGAGAUGGUUGCCCUCCUGUGCCCCAUCAGGGGCCUGCUCCCCUGCAGCCCUCCCACAACCCCCUUGCCCACUGUGUCCCCAGGACCUGGUGUCCAAGAUGCUACACGUGGAUCCCCACCAGCGCCUCACAGCUAAGCAGGUUCUGCAGCAUCCAUGGGUCACCCAGAAAGACAAGCUUCCCCAAAGCCAGCUGUCCCACCAGGACCUACAGCUUGUGAAGGGAGCCAUGGCUGCCACGUACUCUGCACUCAACAGCUCCAAGCCCACCCCCCAGCUGAAGCCCAUCGAGUCAUCCAUCCUGGCCCAGCGGCGAGUGAGGAAGUUGCCAUCCACCACCCUGUGAGGCACCAGGGCAUUCAGGCCACAGGGCGGUGCUAGCUUGACAGAGUCAGCAUGCUUCCCAGAGGGAGCAGGCCGGAACCACAGGGCCAGAGGGAGCUGGAACCCGAGGGGCCGGGGAAGCUGCCAGCCCAGAACACCCCUAAUGAGGGUGUGAGAAGUGCCUUCUCCUUCCCCAGGAUGGACUCUUCUCAGCUCAGGCUCUGCUGGUGGAAAGCGAUUCACUGUAUAAACUUUUUUUUAUGAAAAAAAUGGCAUCAACCACCAUGGAUUUUUACAAGAUCCAUUUGCCUUUCUGGGAGCAGAAACAGCCAUUGCGGCCCCAGGAGGGGAACUGAGUCACGCUGGGGCUCUCUGAGACUCUUUAGAGCAGCUUUGGGAUCCCACCCUGGGGACCCCCACGAUUGGCCAUCUGUAGCCAUCUGCACACACCUCCGAGACAGUCCAGUGUCACCUCUCUCAGAGCAUCUGGCUGUUUAGCAGAACUCAUUCUAUCCCCAAUCAGCUCCUUUUCCGUUCUGUUCUGCUGGGAGUUCUAGAACCACUUCCUGCUACAGGAGGGGACUCAAGUCCUGCUGGCUUCCAGCUUCAGGCACCAGCAUCCACCUUGGCUCUGCCAGUGGAUCCCCUGCGGUCAGGCUGGGCAGCCCCAGAGAGAGGAUGUGGAAAGCACUUUUUGGCUGACUUCAUUUGGGGUUGGCAACAGGACAGAGUUCACAGGAGGCCAGUGGGCGGGCCAUGAGGGACAGGGUCUUUUUUCAUUUCUUCCUCAGCUGGUUACUCAGGGUUCAUC